AUUGCCCUGAGGCCGGAUUCCAAACAUUUGGACCCUACAGUCAAUUACCCGGGGGGCUGUCACUGACAGUGGUGUGCAUGCCUGGUUGUACCAGGAAGCCUGAAGCUGUCAUACGGCGCCCACUUAUAUGCCUGGGGUUCCAAUUGACGGUUCCGGCCCGGGGUUUUU
rnacentral:other from 1 species